UUGGAUGGUUGCCUUGAUUCUCUGAGGGCUUUGUGACAUAAUUGAUAUUUUCAUGGCACACCCAGCCCACUGGUUCUAUGCUGUUUUCUGUGUUUGCACCCCAGUAUACCUUUGUUCUUCCUGUUUGUGUCUCCGAGGAGACGGCAAGGUGAGGAGGGCGAGGAGAAGUGAAGAAACUUGUAUUUUUAGCCCUGACACAGCAGAAUGUUCUGAGACUUCUGUUAUAAGCACAUUUAAAAAUAAACGUCAAGACUUGGGAGUGAAGUGA
rnacentral:lncRNA from 1 species